UGGGAAAUUUUGGACAAUGGGCGCAAGCCUGAUCCAGCCAUGCCGCGUGCGGGAAGAAGGCCUUCGGGUUGUAAACCGCUUUUGUCGGGGAAGAAAUCUCUCGGGCUAAUACCUCGGGGGGAUGACGGUACCCGAAGAAUAAGCACCGGCUAACUACGUGCCAGCAGCCGCGGUAAUACGUAGGGUGCGAGCGUUAAUCGGAAUUACUGGGCGUAAAGCGUGCGCAGGCGGUCGUGCAAGACAGAUGUGAAAUCCCCGGGCUCAACCUGGGAACUGCAUUUGUGACUGCACGGCUGGAGUACGGCAGAGGGGGAUGGAAUUCCGCGUGUAGCAGUGAAAUGCGUAGAUAUGCGGAGGAACACCGAUGGCGAAGGCAGUCCCCUGGGCCUGUACUGACGCUCAUGCACGAAAGCGUGGGGAGCAAAC
rnacentral:rRNA from 1 species